GACAUGUAGCUGAGUGGAUUACGUAAUGGCGUUUGAAGCGAACGGUACUGGGUUCGAGUCCCAGAGUGAACA
rnacentral:tRNA from 1 species